GGAGGGGUAGCCAAAUGGUAAAGGCACCAGACUAAAAACCUGGCAGUCGACCCUCAUGGCUUCCUCACUCGGGCGCGGACUGCCCCCCCG
rnacentral:tRNA from 1 species